GGAUCCACCAAGAAGUUUGUGAUAUUCUGGUGAGUUUAUGUUUGGUUUGGGUUGUUUGUCGGUUCCUAUCUGGUUUCUGGUACGCGGUGGUUGUAUUCAGCCGGUUCAGAUGUGGGUGCUUAAGCUUUCUUGGAUCUGGUCAGACAACCUUCCAAACGAGGCAUCAGAUGUCAGAGAUCUUCUGGUCAUCUUCCUGUCAGCUUCUUUUCUUCUGGCUCUAUUUUCCGGCGACCUGACUCCCGUGUUUCGGGCUUCGUCUCUGGCUUACAGUGGCUAUCUUAGCACUAUAAGGCUGGCUUUUGGCUCUGACGGUGUCCCUUUCUGUCCGGGAAUCGUUGGCCUUUGUCUCGGAUCAAUCGUUUGAAUAUGAAUCAUGUUUCAGAUUGGAAGUUUGCGUGAAGUGAAGUUGGAAACUUUGGUUUGGUCUGUUGAAUACAUUAGCGGCAGGUCCUCCUAUAUGGUUGCUUAAUUGCUUUGUGAAUGAGGAAGUCCAAUCCUCUGUUUAAUGGCUAUGAGUAGUCUUUGGAAUUCUUUUUUGGUAUAGGUAUGGCGACGGAAAGUGUAUUAGUCGUAGACUCAUAAUCAGGGGUUGGUUUGAUGAUUGUGGGGGGUUUUUGUGGCCUGGGGGUGUUAGCCUUGUAAUGGUUUGGAAACAAUGUUUAAAGUUCAAUAUAAUCUAACAGAUGACUUAAAAAAAAAGGAAAUGAAGGCUAUAAGUGUGGUCUUCAUCUAUGCAUGUUCUUACCUUUUCAUUUAUUUCGUACCCUUUCUUGGGUUGAUAGGAGCACCUUGUGGAGACUACCUAUGGCCCCGUAUGUGUUGCCGUUUGUGGAGAUCCAGAUAAACCUGCUCUUAUUACAUAUCCUGAUCUAGCUCUUAAUUGUAAGUCAGAUACUUCUUCAUCUCUACUUAUCAAAUAAGCCUUAACUUCAGUUGUACACUAUUCAAAAUAAAACUUUUGAAUUGAUGCUUGUUUUUAAUAUUUUGUUUUGUCAUGUUGCAGAUAUGUUCUGUUUUCAAGGAUUAUUGUUUUGUCCAGAAGCUAGUUCCUUGUUACUCCACAACUUCUGCAUAUAUCACAUAAGUCCUCUAGGCCAUGAGGUUGGUAACUCAAGUCUCAUCUUUUUUUACAAACUUUUUUUUUUAUUUUUCUGCUAUUUACUGUUUUAACUGCUAUUCCAUUUCCUUGAUAAUACAAUUCAUGCUCCUUAUUACAUCUAUUUUUCAAGAGUUAUUGCAGUUGGGAGCUCCAGUGAUCAGUGUUGAUGCUCCUUUGCUCUCAGCUGAUGACUUAGCUGACCAGAUUAUUGAGGUUCUUAACUAUUUUGGGUAAGAUUUCACCUCCUGCAUAAGUUUUAUCUGAUCAUUGUUUCAUUAAGCUGCAUAUAUUCUUUUAUAUCCUUAUCUUGUUUUUUUUUCUUCGUUUUGUUCUAAAUUCUUUUAACUUUAUUUCUUAUUGGCUCUUAUCCAGACUUGGUGCAGUAAUGUGUAUGGGUGUCACAGCAGGAGCUUACAUUCUGACCUUAUUUGCUGUAAGUAUUUUUUACCUACAGUAACAAUACCUCUCUUACAUAUUAUUCUAUUGAUAUCAUACUUAACUUUUCCUUGAAACUUAAAUUCUUCUAGAUGAAGUACAGGCAGAGAGUUCUGGGAUUAAUACUCGUCUCUCCACUGUGCCAAGCGCCUUCUUGGUCAGAAUGGUUGUGCAACAAGGUUUGUUUCUUCCCAAAAUGAUAACUUCGUUGGUUCUCACUUGUGGCUAUGACCUUGGUUAUCAAACAUUUCCAUAAUUUUAUGCAGGUUAUGUCUAAUUUACUUUACUACUAUGGCAUGUGUGGAGUGGUUAAGGAAUUGUUACUCAAACGGUACUUCAGCAAGGUAUAGUCUCAGUUCUCUCAUUCACCACUUAACAAAUAUGGUUCUGGUUUUAAAAAGUUUCUUAUAAAUAGCGUUUUGCAUAAGACAGUUGAUAAUGUUUGACAUAUGAUAGGAAGUUCGUGGUAAUGCUCAAGUUCCAGAAUCAGAUAUUGUUCAAGAAUGCAGAAGAGUUAGUAAUACCUUCCUUCUUUUUUUUUUUUUUUUUUUUUUUUGCAAUUCUCUGAUAACAUUUUUCGAAGUAAAAAUUUAUAUGUUGUGUUCUCUACUACCCAGUUACUUUGCGAGCGGCAGAGUACAAAUGUAUGGAGAUUCCUUGAGGCAAUCAACGGGUAACUAUAGUUGAUCUCUGUUGUUUUUCAUUGUUAAGCUGAAAGUCUUAUCUUAUUGUAUAUUCUGGUUUGGUGUGAAUACAGGAGAGUGGAUCUUAGUGAAGGGUUAAGGAAACUGCAAUGCAGAACUUUAAUAUUCAUUGGUGAAAGUUCUGGUUACCACUCAGAGGCCGUUCACAUGACCACCAAACUAGACAGACGAUACGGCGCAUUAGUCGAGGUAUAAUAUAAAUCCUCCAUUCGUUUGAAAAAUUAUGUUUCAGAGCGUUCACACAUAUUAAAAAAUAUUUAAAUUUUAAUUAUAAAUGUAUUAUUUUUAAUGAUUAACUAUUUACCACAAUUUUUAGUCAAAACAUGUAUCAUUUUAAAAAGGAGAGAGUACAUCAAUAGUAUAAUUUCUAUUUUCCUUGUUAGCGGUUUGGCUCUAAACCAUAGUUCUGUAUAUAAAAUAGGUACAAGGAAGUGGGUCAUUGGUGACUGAAGAACAACCUCAGGCGAUGGUAAUACCAAUGGAAUACUUUUUGAUGGGAUAUGGCUUGUAUCGUCCUACACAGAGCAUAAGCCCAAGAAGUCCUUUGAGUCCAACCAGAAUCUCCCCUGAGCUUCUCUCACCUGAAAACAUGGGGUUGAAGCUCAAGCCGAUUAAGACAAGACUCUCCCUAUGACGACGCUGCCUUCUCUGCUACGGAAAAUAUUACAACAUUAUAUACCUGAUGAUACACUACGUGAAUCGCCAUUAUUAUUUUGGAGUUUGAGCUGCUCUUGUGUUAUGAUUAAAGCUGUAGAUAUAGACAGAGAUAUUGAUCAUCUAUAUAUAGAGAGAGCUAAGAGUUAAAAGAGGAAUAAGGUAAGGGAUUGAUAUAUAGUAGAGAGAAUACAGGUGUUUAUGUUUUUGAGUUCUUUAUAGUAGUUGUCUUCAGUGAGUUAUGUCUGUACAUUCGGUUGAAUAAUUAUUUAAGGAAAAAUCAUCAUAAUAUUUUAUGUCAAUUCCCAGUAACGGUGUUACUUUUCAUGUUUUAAUUGUUUUUUUUUUGUGUUUGCCUAUUGUGCUUACAUAUUAUACUAGGGAAGACUCUUUGCAGCUCAAUAUUCAGAAUUCAGAAAGAUUAAAGCAAGUUUUGAAAUUUUCAGAAUAACAAACUGAGAGAUAUGAAUAUUGAUUAAAUAUUUUCAUUACAGAUUACAAUGAAGGGACAGAAAAAAACAAUACUAAUUACAGGUGAAACAUAUGGUGAAAAAGGGCAGAGGUUAGUGGGUUCCAGGAAGCAAACAAUGUUAGGGUCAUUAUAUCAUUUGCUAAAAUGGUAUCCUGAAUGUAAAGAUUAAGAAAUGUGGUUGGUGGGUUAAUCAUUAAAAUAUUUCCAUGAAAAACAUAGGAUGAAAAAUAAUUCUAUAUAAAUACAAAAGCUGGUGAUAAAACGCCAAGAAUGUAAUGGUACUAAUAUGUGAUCGUUACUCAACAAAGGAUACUAAGUAGGUACGUUUAUUCGGUACCUAUUGCGCUGUUCCUUUUGGAUUCAUCUCCCUGUUGAUCUCUAGAUAUUAAAUUAAACAAACUCAAAUGCGACUGAGUUGUUGCUUGCAAUCAAUCAUACAAUGUGAAACACAUAUAUGUAAAAUGUCACAAGCGUACAACACACUAUGAUUUAGAAUAUUCCAUCGACUUUUCAUUACUUAUACAACCAUCGAAGUUGAUACAUGAUAAAUCAAUGAACGUUAACCAUCAGUCACAGUUGAUCAAUCAGUCAACAUGAAGCUGGUUUAAGAGAUACUGCUUCUUUCUUCUUCUUUUUUUGAACAACCUGCUCUUUCUUCUGUUGUAGAAAAUAAAUUUUAUUUUAUUACAUGUUUAAGAAGCUGAUAUCAAUAAUGUCUUUGUUUGUUUAUAUUUUUUUAUCAAUUUAAUUAUGAUGCUCAGAAUGGAGCAUAUAAUAAAUGUUACUUUUAAAAAUAAAAAGAAAUUUGAAAGUUUUGGCCGGAUUUAUAAUUAAGCAAAAGGGACUUAUGGUUUUACGCUCUUGUUGGGUGCCAAUGACACAUACCAACUCGACAAGAAAACGACAUGUGUGUUCUCACCCUCCAAUGCGAUGGGCCUUGUUUAUUGCGUAGAAAACUACACGGUGUUCAUGUUUUAAAAGGGGAGAAGACUAAGCAUAAAAGGAAAGACGACAAAAAUAAGUUGAAAUCCAACGGCUGAAGAUUCAUCAUCCUGUCUCGUAAAGUCAACAAUAUGAAAAAAAAAAAAAACAAUAUGCGGACUUUUUUCUAAAAACAUGAUUCUUUACUUUGGCCCCUGUACUAUAUAUGCAUCACUGUUAUCCUAACCCUCUAUUAUAGUACCAAAAAUUUACUUCAUGGGGUUUGAUUCGAAGGGAGAAAAAUGAGUAUUCUAAAUUACUUUCUUCUUUAUUUCUAUUUUUGAGCAUAUUAUUUCAUAGGGAUUGAUAUAAAAUAGCAUUAAAUAAAAAAAAUGAAGUAGCGUUUAAUUUUCUUAAAAUGCUUGUAUAAAAUGAAAACAGAAAAGAAAAUUACAAAUAGUGGAAAACGAGGGUGCCGACACGUUUUGGGUUUAUAAAUUGAAGUAGAAAAGUCGUAGUAUCAAUUGCAAUGAUUAAGAAAAUAUAGGGUGAGAAUGUAAUGUUUAGAAGGAGAAAGAAUGAUAAAACUGUCGGUCCCUUAACCAAGGGUUAGGCUGAUCAGGGUAUAUAGUUAGUCCCUGUGAUUAUGGUUUUGCAGGUCCUACAUUAAACCCGAGUCGACCGUCGGUGACUCAGUAACGAGUUUCCCUAUAUAUAUUUUUCUGAAGUAACAAGAAGUCUUCUAUUUGUAAACAAGAAAAAAAACGAAGAUAAGACAUUUUUGUGAGAGAGAAGAGGGAAGGCCAUGGAAAGAAGAUAAUAACUCUCUGCUUAUAUUGAAAUAUACAGAGGAGAAAGAGAGAGAUGGGAGAUUCAAGCGGUUCUGUCUCCAUUGAUAUGGAGGCAUUGUCUCCUAGACGACAGGUAAAUUAUCUUUACGAUUAUCUUUGUUUAAAGAGCUUAUUGGAUAUGUUUAAUACUUUAAUAUGUUCUGCAUUCUUCGAGCAGCUGCUUUAUUCCUCAAAAAACAUUACUCAUUUAUGUGGAUUUUAGUUUUAGAUUAUGCUAAGUGGUUUUUAGCAAUUUCUUGAAUCGUUUUGUGAUAAAACAAUGCUAGAAAAUAUUUCAUGUUGCUUCAUUACUAUGUUUGGAGCUGAAACUGGAAUGAUCAAUGAUGCUUUUGUUGUGUCGGUAAUAAUAUCCAAAACUACGAAAUGUGUUGUCUCGAUAAUCUGAUUCCACGUUUCUGCUUUACGUUUGAUUUUUAUUUUUAUUUUUUUGUUUGAUUUCUACGUUGUAUUUUCUUAGUGUCUUCCUCGAUUCAUACGCACUUUCAUUUUGGAACGUGUGAGUGAAUUUGUUGAUAUGAUUCUUGUUUCUAAUAGGAGAUUCCAAGUAUAUAUACAACUCUUCUAGGAUCAUUUUCCACGUUCCUUUCCUCAUUGUUUCUAAUAUUUCUUAAGGAUUUAUUUAUUUAUUAUCAUUGCGAAAUUCCAUAAUGAAGUUUUUGUUCUUCUAUUGGUAGUUCAGAUUUUUAAUAAUCUCUUUUGUUUGACCAAUCCGUAUUUGCUGGUUAUGAGUAUACGAUUUUAAUGGGAAACUUUGCUACUCUUAUUUUACUUACUUCCUAAACAAGUAAUAUUACUCACAAUGGAAAUGAAGGCUAUAGAACACAUUAUUUAAUUUAUGAUGUACUAAAGAAAUGUAGAGAGAGAAACAAAGGCGAAAAAGAGGCGAAAAAGUAGAUCUAGAUCUUCCCUCUCCGGUGUCCGGCGAGUUUUGCUGGCGCCGUGAGAGGGUGGGUUAUUGUCCUAAGUUCUGUUUUAUGAGGUUUGGUCGAGGUGUUGUGGUGGGUAAAGAGGGAUCCACCAAGAAGUUUGUGAUAUUCUGGUGAGUUUAUGUUUGGUUUGGGUUGUUUGUCGGUUCCUAUCUGGUUUCUGGUACGCGGUGGUUGUAUUCAGCCGGUUCAGAUGUGGGUGCUUAAGCUUUCUUGGAUCUGGUCAGACAACCUUCCAAACGAGGCAUCAGAUGUCAGAGAUCUUCUGGUCAUCUUCCUGUCAGCUUCUUUUCUUCUGGCUCUAUUUCCGGCGACCUGACUCCCGUGUUUCGGGCUUCGUCUCUGGCUUACAGUGGCUAUCUUAGCACUAUAAGGCUGGCUUUUGGCUCUGACGGUGUCCCUUUCUGUCCGGGAAUCGUUGGCCUUUGUCUCGGAUCAAUCGUUUGAAUAUGAAUCAUGUUUCA
rnacentral:lncRNA from 1 species